CCUACGGGAGGCAGCAGUAGGGGAUAUUGCUCAAUGGGGGAAACCCUGAAGCAGCGACGCCGCGUGGGUGAUGGAGUGUUUCGGCAUGUAAACUCCUAUUGUCAGAGAAGAUGAUGACGGUAACUAACGAAUAAGCACCGGCUAACUCAGUUCCAGCAGCCGCGGUAAUACGGAGGAUGCGAGCGUUAUCCGGAUUUAUGGGGUUAAAAGGGUGCGUAGGCGGGCAGUUAAGCCGGCGGGUAAAUGCCGGGGCGCAACCCCGGGCUGCCGUCGGAACUGGGUGCCUGGAGUGGGCGAGAGGUAUGCGGAAUGCGUGGUGUAGCGGUGAAAUGCAUAGAUAUCACGCAGAACCCCGAUGGCGAAGGCAGCAUACCGGCGCCCGACUGACGCUGAGGCACGAAAGUGCGGGUAGCGAACAGGAUUAGAUACCCGUGUAGUC
rnacentral:rRNA from 1 species